GAACUUCGAGUCUGGAAAACGGCCCAGCACCCACUUCCUAGGGAGCGCACGUGUGAGGCCAGCAGGACCAGGCAGCUGGUGGGAAGAAGACCCUGCGAGCUCAGCCCGUCCUUUCCGGGGGGAGGUGGUCCCUGGAGCAACCAGAGCUCUAAAACAUCUUCACUCGUGGCCUCUUCAGGGACGAAGAGCUGGUUCUUCCACGGGCUCAGCUUUGAAGUGUUCAUUUGCACACACAGGACCAGCCAGGAGCAUCGCAGCCAAAGGCCGUCUCCAUCCGAGUGUUGCUUGUUUUUGAGCCCGGAGUCUCUUCCUUGGGGACAGACCCCUCUCAGCCCUCGACACCUGCUGUGUGUUUCGCAGUUACAGCCUUUCAGGCUGGACCGGCCGCAUUUUGAGGGCCCAGCGGCCGUCUGCCUGAGUCAGCGCGGACCUAAAGCAAACUGCACCGCCAAACUCGGCUCCUCUGUUGUCCAGGACCCUGCUGAGGCCACGGGUCUGAGCAUCCUCCUCUCGGCGCUCAGGAUGUGGUACAGAUACACAAUGGAAUAUUACUCAGCCAUAAAAAGAAUGAAAUAAUGCCAUUUGCAGCAACAUGGAUGCAGCUAGAGCGUCUCAUACUAAACGAAAUUAAGUUGGAAAAGAGAAAGACAAAUACCUUACAAGAUCAC
rnacentral:lncRNA from 1 species